rnacentral:rRNA from 1 species
UGGCUCAGAGUGAACGCUGGCGGCGUGCUUAACACAUGCAAGUCGAACGGACUUAAGGGGCUUGCUUCUUAAGUUAGUGGCGCACGGGUGAGUAAUAUAUAGCUAACCUGCCCUUUAGUGGGGGACAACAGUUGGAAACGACUGCUAAUACCCUAUACUCCUUCUUACUAUAAGGUAAGUUGGGAAAGAUUUAUCGCUAAAGGAUGGGGCUUUAUUGUAUCAGCUAGUUGGUGGGGUAAUGGCCUACCAAGGCUAUGACGCAUACCUGGUCUGAGAGGAUGAUCAGGCACACUGGAACUGAGACACGGUCCAGACUCCUACGGGAGGCAGCAGUGGGGAAUAUUGCACAAUGGAGGAAACUCUGAUGCAGCAACGCCGCGUGGAGGAUGACGCAUUUCGGUGUGUAAACUCCUUUUAUAGGGGAAGAUAAUGACGGUACCCUAUGAAUAAGCACCGGCUAACUCCGUGCCAGCAGCCGCGGUAAUACGGAGGGUGCAAGCGUUACUCGGAAUCACUGGGCGUAAAGGAUGCGUAGGCUGGAAAUCAAGUCGAGAGUGAAAUCCAACGGCUCAACCGUUGAACUGCUCUCGAAACUGGUUACCUAGAAUAUGGGAGAGGUAGAUGGAAUUAGUGGUGUAGGGGUAAAAUCCGUAGAUAUCACUAGGAAUACCGAUUGCGAAGGCGAUCUACUGGAACAUUAUGAC